ensembl:lncRNA
GCACUGGUUUACUGAAAGGUUUGCAAACAUAUGAGGAUAUAAAUGCCAAAAAUAGAAUUUGUACAGUUAUUGAAAGUCACAGCCUGAACUCUCUUAGGCAGCUUUCUUGACAUUAUUUCAAGUAGUCUUCAGAAAAGCUCUCCAGGCUUCUUGAAGGACAUUCAAAGCUCUUCUUUGGAUGUUGGCUGCCUUUGGUUUAAGUUCCAUCAAGCCGGCCUGCUGCGACCACCCUGCUUCAACAACAAUGAGGUCCGUGCUCUGAGGAAACCAAUCCAUGACUGGUAGUGACUUGUAUUUUUCUGCUUUUUCAUCAUCUUGGCAGUGUGUUUGCAAUGGCUCUUACUGAUUUUCAAUCCAGUUCUUGUGUAAUUUGACAUACCACAGCCCUUUCUCCAUUUUCCCUUCAUUAUGAAUAACUUCGACACAGCCACAUUUCCACUGAGACUAUUUCUGUCAAGGCUUCAGUGAACAAAUGGAUCAGUUGAAGGUCCAGAUGCCACGCUGUAGUUUAAGGUUUAAGGUUUCUCAGCCCUCAGGGUUACACAACAUAUGAAUGAGUGAGCUGAACUGCUUGAAAAUUUUACUGUAUUAUAAAAAAAUUUUUUUUAAAAACCUCAAUCAGGACAGCAUUUUUUUAAAAGCAUAAAACCCAUUUUAAUAUAAUUUUUAUUAUUAGUUUCCUUGUUCAAUAUAUUAUUUGAUCCAUGAUAAAUACAAAUAAUACAAAGCCCCACAGCCGCCAUAUGCACAAAUAUACAGGUAUACCAUACAGGGUGAAUAUAAAAUAUAUAAAAUUUUAAAAAAAAUUAAAUGAAAGGAUCACUUGGAAAAAAUACUUGUUUCAGCAGCAGUUCCUUUAAAAGACAUUAAUCCGCCUCCUGGUUCACAGGGUCAAAUCACUUGAAAUGAGCACAAAAAUGUACUAAAACAUAAAUUGUGUUAAAUUGGCAGUUUGGACCAACAAUUUUAUAUUUUUUUAUGGAAAGCAAGAGCUGCAUCUGAUAUAGCAUCUGAUUUAUAGAAAGAUUUUUUAAAUUACAAAUGAAUUAAAAUUACAGGGUAAUUAUUGCUCCCAAUCCACCUGAAAAUGGGUAAACACUAUUACUCCAUGCACAGCAUACUUGUGUGCACCCCCCAUCACCCACCCCGUGACAUCCAGAAACUAUUUUUAUUUCUAUGUCAGCUGUAAUUAUCCUUUUGGGCUCUAUGAAUAAACAUAAAAUGAAUAACUUAAGCAACAACAGCUGCAGGUCCAUCUUCAACUCUUUAAAGCCAAGUACAGCUGAUACAGUUUUCGUGGGUUUACAUCAUCCUGACAUCUACAUCAUCAGUGAGAUAUUUUCAUUCCGAUUCAUUUAUGAGGAAUAAAUUGCAAAAAAAAGUGCAGGAUGCAAAUUAAUAGUUAAUUUUUUUUUUUUUGUUUAAAUGUCGUUAAAAUGUUCAAUAAACACUCCAUUUUCACUAAAGUUUGAAUUUGUAGGUAAUCGUUUCACAGUUCAGGCUUUGAAGGGUUAACCAGUCAACGGUUAUAUAUAAGAGGUUAUUUAAUCUCAUAGUGUGCUUCUACAUGGAAGUCAUGCUUGUAUAAGCAAGUCAUAAGAGUGCGUGACAAAAAAAACCACUAAAACGUUUCUGUACAAGACUUUGAGCUACACUGUUAGAGAGUUAGCUCCAUUAUUAACUCUGAUAGUUGGGAUCACUACAUUCUAAUGCAACCUUGUAAUAAACCAGCCCUUCGCAGUGUAUCACAGGGAAUUUAGAAGGCCAGCGAUCCCACCGGGACUUCAUAGUAGCCGCACCGAUUUCAUGAAAGAGGCUGAUUUCACUUUAAGAUUUAAAUAUAAGUUAGCAGCAGUAGCAGAAUAUGUGCUGAGAAUGUGUGUCUUCAAUUAAGGUUAAGGUGCACAAAAAAGAAGAAGAAGAAAGUGAGUAAGGAUCUGUGAUUAACUUUGGCACUGCCCUGCGUUUGUGCUGCAGCACAAAUGAAGUUGCAAGGAAGUGAGAGGACCGCUCCACCCAUUCUAAAAUUAAAAGUUACAAGUUUCACCAUGUUGACUCAGUUUUACUAUGUCUUCUUUUCAUGAUUUAGGAAAGAGCGGCGCCUGCAAACUGAUUACUGACGGUGGAAAAAUGUCUUUUUAGACACUGGAAUUUAUUGCGUUCGUUUGCAUUUCAAAAUCCUCGACUCUCAGCUAGGAUGACUGGAUUUUGGCUUGAAAUGAGAGAUUUCUGCUCCAGACCCUCAAAGUUUGGGAGGCAUUUUUAUGCUACUCACUAAUAAGCGCAGACAUAAAGAUUACUUUAGUCUCAGAGAGGAUGAGAUAACCUGUGAUGCUGGAGGUACAAAUACAUGAGAUUCUAGUCAGCUACCGGUUGCAUUCUGGAGACUGCAGGGUUCAGAUUGACAAUUUUUCUGUAACCAAACCAAAUGGAAGAUCAAUCAUGAAAUCGCUGCAUUUUCGUAACAGAAAGCUCAAUAAAUAAGUAGCAUCUGGUAUGAAUAUGAAAUAUGACAGAAGACAUUCAGUCUUUAGUUUGUUACUAGCUUGAGUCCAGAGGUCAUCUCCUCACAACACAUGAAUUAAAAUGACUUUUCUGUAGAUCUACUGGUUAUUAUUCCCACUUAUGAGCCAGUCGUAAAAAUCACAAAGAUCAAGAUCCUUUGAGGGAACCCCUGGUUGUGGCGCCAAUGGCGGAGGUUCAGACGGAGCCCUAUCAAAGCUGCUGGAGGUAGCUUGAGAUAUAUCGAGUGGACCAGGGACAGUGAGCAGGGAGAGCAGAGACACACUGUUUGAUGUAUUGUCUUGAUCAUAACUCUGGUUUGAGGAAAAAGAAGGCACGGGUGAUGGCUCCAAACCUGAAGCUGCUGAUGCUAAAAGAGAAGGAGGAAGAGGAUUUUGAAGAGGUGAUGGUAAAAAAGUAGACGGUGGAAUUGAACUGCUUUGGUUUCCACUAAACCGACAUGGAGGCAGCUGGGGCAUGCAACCCGGUGCUACCACACCCGCGCUACCAGCCUCUAAAUGGGAAUAAGGGGGUGUAGCAUCAGCUGUAGGAUUUAGAAAAGAUGUUUUCUCCUUAAAAAAUCCGUCAGCCGUGUAAUCAAUUUCACAGAGGGUGUCUUGCUCCGGCGUGGGCUGCGUGGCUGUGGAGAGGACACCGGAGGGAACAGGGUUUGAAAAAAGACCGUCACAGAUGGGUAUACCAUUUGUUGUGCUUGAGGUCAUUAUAGGUUCUUUGCUAAAUAAAGAGUGCGGAGCUGUGUAUGUGGUAAAAGAUGCAGAAUAGGGAAUCGUCACUGGGCUGGAGGAAGAGGAGGAGGAGGAAUUGAAGAUCUUAGGUGAAGAAUGAGCAGAGGAGGCUAAUGUUGUAGUAGCUGGAGGAGAGACGUGGUUCCUUUUGACGCAGUCAACGCUCUGAAGUCCCAGGCUGGAGGUCAUGGAGGUCAGAGAGAAGGAGAGUGGAGAGGAAGCAGCCACGUUGGAGUCCGAGGCCUCAGCGAUUCCGUGAUGGUUGGAGCUUGUCUGACAGUCAGCGGAAGAAGAACCCGCAAGGCUAGAGGGGAGGCGGCAGUAAGGUUUGUGACGCUCCAGCGACGUCGUGUAGAAGUGCAGCUCUUUUUUCAAUGCAGCGAUGUCCUUUUGAAGAGCCGAGUUUGAGCGCUCCAGACUCUGGAGUUCCUGAGGAGACAGAGGGCAAAGGGGAAAAGGAAGCGAUUAAAUAAGGGGUUGGGGGGGGAAAGACAAAGCGGAGGGCUCAAUAGUAAAGAAGCAAAGUCAGGUAUAUCUUUAUUAUCCCUAAUCGAGGUGCUCACCAGCUAUAAAAACUUAUUACAGACAUACAUCAAAAGACAAACAAUGAACACAAUCACAUGCCACCCACAUAAUAUCACACCAAGCCUGUGCUGCGCAGUAAUAAAACGACACAGCGAAACAAUCUUAAUGACGCUCUCCUUUAAGGCUCUGAGAGUGUGCAGCAAUAGAAAGCACAAGAGGCAUAAAGCGGAUGAAGUGUGGCCAACGCCAGAACCCCAAAGGAGAACUGAAAUAUUGCUCCUAAGUGACAGCACUGCAAGAUCAGCAUGAAACGAGUGGGUAGGCGGUGUAGAGAGAACAAAAGGUGAUUCCUUGCUGAUCAGUGCAGACUAAUGCGUGGGUCUAAUUAGGAAAAUUUAGAAUUGAAAUGUGGCAAAAAGCUUUCGAAAUAAACGUGCCUUUUUGGAGCAUCUGCAACGGUUUUCUUUACAUUUAGCGGUAAACUUAAAGCACUUUCGAGAUGCUCUUCCUUCUUUUAGUGGUCAUAUAUACAUACUGUUACAAUGGUGGCCAUAGUUUCAAAUACAUAAAACGAAUGAACUCAGUCUUUAACAAUAAAAUUCACUCUUUUUGACUGUUUUUUUCUACUCUUGGAACUGCCGGGGAUAUGGCUAAUAUAGUCAUCUCGGUCAGGCUGUGGCUGAAGUCCCAUCACCUGCUGCUCAAACCUUCGAGUCGCAAAGAGCAGACAAUAAGAAGAAAGCUAAAUCAGACCUCAGUAAGUUAGGCCUAGAGAUCAGCUGAUGACCCUCGGUAACCCCCGGUCACUAUAGGGGGAAAAUAAAUGUAUAUUCCACGACCACCGCUUUGGCUUUGGUUGCUAGCAGAGUCGCCGGUAGUUUGCAUGGAAGGCACCAACUCCUGCAAACACUCGCUAGCUAACCACCAGCCGGCCGAGAAACUCGAAACAGUGUUUAGUAAACAAGACGCAAACAAGAACAAAGAUCUUCAAAGUAAAAGUUGAACCUUAUCGCUGAAACCAACACACGUUAAAAGGCACAACUUUUUGACGAUGAAGGCAAAGGUUCUCUGUUUUUAGCUGAGGUCACACUUCUUUCACUACUGCUUAGCGAGGCAUUGCCACAGACAACUCAACGUCUUCCAUAAAAACUACAGGCCAUCUCCGACUAACCAACGCAAACACAGGGAGAUAACACUGACGAAAGCCACGAAAUGUCGCCUUAAGACAACGCUUAAAGUAGGCCGGAACAAUCCGGAGCAGCAUUCCGGCUCAUUCUGUAAAGUACAGAGUAGUUAAAUGUGCUUGGCAGAUUUGACUAAUGCAUAAUGACUAAUGAUUUGCUUUCAGCUGAUGGCAUGGAGAUAUCUGCUUAGUUUCCAAAAAAAUGUAGUUCUAAGAAAAGUUCCCAAGAAAAGUUAGCUCCUAAGAAAAGAAGAAAAAAAGAGAUCAACUUACAACACUCUCAAAGAGGGAGAAAUGUGUGAACAGAGAACAGGACAAGAAGAUGAGAAACUGUUUUCAAAGUUAAGAACCUUUCAGCAAGGGAAAUGCAUAUCUUACUUGUACUUGAAUCUACACAUGAUUUAUUGUUAAGCAUACUGUUUUUUAAUCAUAUAUUGUGAAAUUGUGAAGGUUGCAUGAAAAUACUAGUCAUUGUGGUGCAAGUUACACUGGUUAGUUAGCAGUUCUGUGCACACGCACACACAAAAUCUACUGUUGAGUUCAAAAAUUAACAUGCCGCUUGUCUCUAAGUGACUAUUUUCACCCAGCAGUGAGGUUCCCACAGCUGCCAAAUCCCACUUUAACCUCUACAUAAAAGAAGAGCUUUUAAAGGAGUGGGUGAAAUCAGCGGCUACACCAGCGCACCAGUUUAAGAUUUAAAUAAGGAUUAUUUUGAACUGUGACCCAUUCAAAUCUACUCUAAUGAGCCGUCACUUCAGCACAGCUACCAUUCGUCUCCUUUUAAUACUAAAGUGUAAACUUGACAGUUGCCCUGAAAACUGUACUUCAGUUAAAAAAAAAAAAAAAGAUGUAUCUGCUUUAUUUUUCUUAAGGUCAGAAGAGUCAGAGCUGUGCUAUGCAGUUGUGAGUCACGGUCUCAGUCCCAUUGAAUUAUAAGCUGCUGACACAACUUUGAGUUUUUAACAGGUUCGAGUGGCUUGUGGCAACGACACUUCCCAGAACUUCAAGUGAAGCACACACACACACAGCAGAACUGAAAGAGAAGGAAAGAGGGAAAGCGAAAGUGCGAGCUCCCGACACAAAAAGACACACGCACACAUUCACGCCCAUUCAUAAAUUUGGUACACACAGACAUAUUGAGCAGGUUACAACAGGUAGGAUGUAAUGUAAAAGGAAAAUAGAGCUUAGUGGUGGUAAAAGAGCACGAGGUUGCGUGCAGCACGGCAAACAGUUGGUUUUGUUUUCUCUUUGUCAGAAUGAGAGUAAUUAAACACAUUUUAUGAGCGUGAACUGAUGGACGAAUCAGAUUAGUGACAUGACAGGAGAACAAAUGCUUUUUACUGCACAGAAACCUGUUGGGAAGCUUUGAUAUAGAAUUUGUACACAUUUGUAAAUAGGACUCUAUGGCUUAGGCUCAUUCUCAUGAAAAUGAGAAGAUUUUCUCAUGAAAAUCUCACCAGGCUAGAAAAUUGUACAAAUAUAUAUAUUUGUAUAUAAUAGCAGAGUAUACUAAUAACAGAAUUAUCAGAUGUAUCAAACGAAACUGCGGAUCUCAUGUGACGGGAGAAAUUUUAAAACCAUGAGACAAGUAAUGUCGCUGGAAUACAGAAGUGCAAAGUUUAGAAAGAUAAGAUAAGAGGAACCUAUUACCUAUCACAAACAACCAAAGUAGGCGACCAGUGAAGUGAACGCAACACAGGAAGCGAGCCAAGAUACGGCAUUCCCACCGCGCUUAAAGAUGCACAUCAACAGAUUACCUGUGUGUACAACUGAUAUGUUGUCAUAUAUCGUCACUGCUUUUCAAAAUCACCAGCAUAUGACGAUGCACUAUAACUUAGUUCCAUUUAGCUCUUCAUGUAACUAGUAACUAACAUUAUUUCAGUAUUUUAGAGAACACCGCCACCUGAAUACUUUCUGCUUCAAUGGAUGGGUUUCAAAUCUCAGUAAGAAAUCUUGAACACCACAUUUUUAAAAUAACUCUUCUAAUAGUUUUCAUAACUGUAAUGCAGGUAUGAUGUUAAAACAGUUUUCAGGGCUGUUCACUGUUAGGCUUCUGUGUAAGCACGCGGCCAUCAAAGAUACUUUGGAAAUCUGACUGAGUGCUCUGGGAAGCGUGUCUGUGUGUGCCCUGUGUGUGCCGUGUGUGUGGAUGUGUACCCUGACCUGUGGAAUUUCCCCCCCCACCCAGGGAAAAAAAAGACAGGCAAGUACAGAUUGAAAACAAACGUGUCUGUGUCUGUGUGUGUGAGUGAUAGUGCGUUUGUGUGUGUGUGUAUGGCAGACAGGAAAGGGAGGGCUGGUAGGGAGGGCAAAGCAGAGGGAGUGAAAGUCCUUCUCCUAAAGCAGGCUAUUUACAAGAAACGCCUGCAAGCAUGCUGCCAGAUUACACAAUACGCACGCGCGUGCACACACACACACACUGCUCGUCACACAGGCUGUGUGUGAAAAGGAGACAGAAAGUGACAGACUCGGAGGAUGACAAUGGAAGGAAGCAGAGGGGGAAAGGAGUCAGACCUCAUGAAGUUCAUCUGCUCUCUCUGUCUGUUUUUUGCGGCUCUUCCUCGCCGCAUCCCUGUUCUUCUCCCGUCUUUUUGUCCCUCUGGAUCCCAUCUGUUGCCCCCCUCUUUCUCUCUCCUGCCAAAACAACGACAGAAUUAAGGAGAAAUAUCUGGGGUUAAUUAGACCGCACAGUGACACAGUGGGCGUUCAAGUAUGCACUUCUAUUUUGGCUUUGGCUUUCUCCUUUUUAAAGGGUGUGAAUCGCCAAUCACAUGAGACAGUGCGUCUGGACCUUCAAAAUAAGGCAGGUCAAUAAUACGUGAACUGCUUUGAUGCAGCGCGUGAUGUGAAGCAAAGACGAGGGCUGACAAACCAUAUGACGAAUAACAAGGAAGGUUUUAUUGCACACAAUAAUUCAGGUCUUUUUUAGAAUACACCUUCCAUUCAUUUCAUGAGCUCAGUUUUCUCUCAGCACAGCUGUUGCUGACUGUUCUACAGGCGGUGUAUAUAAUCUGUGUAUACUUUGCACACACACACAUGAUAACUGCAGUAAAUAACCUGAGCCGGACAUGAACUGAGGGUUCAGGACACCAGAGGUGGAAGAUCAAUACUCAGUUUAAAAACUAACAACAAUAAUAAUAAUUAAGGCACUAAUAAUUUAAAUGAAAUUUAAAUAAAUCACUUUAUAUAUUAUAAAAACAGAUCUGUUUGGAGGUCUUAAAGUGUAUCUGAGGUGAUAAAUAGUGGGUUUUGAUUGGUUUUAGAGGCAGUGGAUGAUGAUUAGCAUGACUAAUAAUUAAUACUAUAUAUAUAUCUAUAUAUAUUAUUGUAUAUUACUAUACAAUAAUGAUAAUAAUUAUAACUUUAGCUUUAAUAAUAUAUCAUUUUUAUUUACAGCGGGAAAAGGAAAAAAGCCAGAGGUUCAUUAAUCAAAAGAGGAUAUGACUCAGUACAAACAGUGAAUGGGUGUUUCUUUAAACGUUAUCCUAUUGUAGCCCAUUAUUAUACCCAGUAUCUGUGUGAAUUUUACAUCACAUAAGGUUACCCUUAGCAUCAACAGCGUGAAAAGGUCCAUAGCAUGACUUAAAUAGAGGAUUUGAUGAUCGAGUCAAGAGAGGAGAAAGAGGAACUCACCGAUCCUGCAGUACUGCCGGGGCUGGUGGACUCGGACCCGGAGUCCAUGAAUAACGGGGACAUCUUGACCCACGGUCCUGCAGCAGACUGGCUCACCUGUCGGCUGGUCGUCUGCGGCAGCACGAGGCUUUCACCUGUCCUGGAUCAUGAGUGCAGCACGGGAAGCCGUAUCCAUUCAUACGCGAUUAUCGGGAUAUCAGGACAGAGCAGGAGUGCAGGUUACAGAGCAGGUUUGCCUUGUCAGGGUUCAUUUGUGGAAUUUCUUGCCUUCUUAAUGGGGUUGGGAUCAUCAGUUGUACUGUGCAGAAGUCAGUGGAGUCACGAUAACCAUCAAUCGCUACGAUGAAACUGGCUCACAUGAGGACCGCCCAGGAAACGAAGACCAAGAGUCACCUCUGCUGCUGAGGAUACAUUCAUCUGACUCAGCAGCCUCAGAUUAGAGCCCAGAUAAAUGCCACACAAAGUUCCAGUAGCAGACACAUCUCUACAUCAACUGUUCAGAGUAGACUGCAUGAAUCAGGCCUUUAUGGUCAAAUAGCUGCUAAGAAACAAAUUUGUCUACUUGCUGUGUCUUUGUGCGACGCAGAAAAGGUGAAUUGAUGGUCUCUACAUGCAUGGUUGCCACCGUGAAGCAUGGAGGAGGAGGAGGUCUGAAGAUGCUUUGCUGGUAACACUGUUGGGGAUUUAUUCAAAACUGAAUGCACACUGAACCAGCAUGGCUACCACAGCAUCCUGCAGCGAGAUGCCAUCCUAUCGGGUUUGCGUUUAGUUGGACCAUCAUUUAUUUCUCAACAGGACAAUGACCCCAAACACACCUCCAGGCUGUGUGAGGGCUAUUUGACCAAGAAGGUGCUCGGUGUAUAGAGAUGUAUAGCUACUGAUUUAGAAGAAAAAUGGUAAUGUGCAAAGCUGUAGUAACUACAGAGAGAGAAAACUGAUGAGCCAUACUAUAAAGCUUCAGGAAAGAUGUGCUGAAGAGUUGCUGAAGCUAGGUUAAGAACAGAGGUGACGGUCAGUGAGCAGCAGUAUGGGGAGGAGGAGCACUACAGACAUGAUGCAAACAUCAUGUCUGUAGUCAUGUCAAACAUCAUGUCAAACAUCAUGUCAAACAUCAUCAACACUUUGACAGUGUUGAUGGAGAAGUUUGUGAGGGUGGUGCAGGACAUGUAUGAGGACAGUGAGACAGCGGGUAGGACUGUCUCACUGUACAUAGGACUGUGGAGGGGACAGGAUUACCAUCUUGCCCCUUCUUGUUUGCAGUGAUGAUGGGCAGGUUGACAGAUGAGGAGCCAGAACUCUCCAGCGACUCUGAUGUUUGCAGAUGACAUUAUAAUCUGUAAUGAAAGCAGGGAGCAGGUGGAGGUAUGCUCUGGAGAGAAGAGGAAUUAAAGUCAGUAGUGAAAGUGAAAACUGUUCUAAAAUAAGCUGACUGCUUAGGAACGCUGCAGAAGUACAGAGUGUGAAAAACAGCAUUGCUAUCAAUCACAAAUAUCCAC